CAGAAAUAUACAUAAAUAUUCCCGAAACAGUGGCACAGGAGAGCAACUACAAACGCAUAGUUAGAUGGCACUAUACACCUGCGAGACUCCAAUCGCUGUUCCCCCAAACGUCCAACCACUGUUGGAGAUGCCAACAGCUCAAUGGCACGACUUCUCAUAUCUGGUGGACCUGUCAGGAGAUACAAACAUUUUGGAAGCGCCUCUCCAGCGUGAUCCAAACCAUCAUAGGAGAAACUGUUGCCCUUAACCCUGACACCUUCAUUUUCCUCCUACCGCCCCACACAGUGCCCAAGGACAAGAUACCUCUACCCCUACAUCUCAUCACAGCUGCCAAUCAACUGAUCCCACUGUUC